AGCAGCCGCGGUAAUUCCAGCUCCAAUAGCGUAUAUUAAAGUUGUUGCAGUUAAAAAGCUCGUAGUUGAAUUUCGGGGUUCUACCGUUGGUCGGGCUAUUGUCUGUACUGGCGUGUAGAAUUUCUACCUUCUGGGGAACUAUCAUGUUAUUAAUUUAGCGUGGUAGGAAACCAGGACCUUUACCUUGAAAAAAUUAGAGUGUUUAAAGCAGGCUUACGUCUGAAUACAUUAGCAUGGAAUAAUAAAAUAGGACGGUGGUCCUGUUUUGUUGGUUUCUGAAUCACCGUAAUGAUUAAUAGGGAUAGUUGGGGGCAUUAGUAUUCAAUUGUCAGAGGUGAAAUUCUUGGAUUUAUUGAAGACUAACUACUGCGAAAGCAUUUGCCAAGGAUGUUUUCAUUAAUCAAGAACGAAAGUUAGGGGAUCGAAGACGAUCAGAUACCGUCGUAGUCUUAACCAUAAACUAUGCCGACUAGGGAUCGGACGAUGUUAACUUUUCUUGACUCGUUCGGCGCCUUACGGG
rnacentral:rRNA from 1 species